AUUAUAUUGUCUUAAAUAUAUUGUACUCGGGGUAAAUAAUUCUUAAAACGAAAACAAAUCAUUAAUCAUCAUUUACCUGCCUGUUGUUUUUCAGAUCAACUGCUAUUGACAUUUUUGAAUCGGGACAAUUGUGGAGUGAUUCGGAAGAAAAACGUUUGCAACACAUCCAUUCCAGAGUGCUCUGACAGAUAAAACUGACACACUUGAUGAGGACACAGUCAAGCUUUAAAAGCCCGUGUGAUAAAGCAGUCUUCAAUUACUACGGUGUCUGAAUUGCAAGAAGUGACCCUCCACUUAAACAUGUGACAUCUAAACUGUUUUGUGUUUUAGUUCAGCUUUUUAUAGGUUUAUCUUAAGUUGGUUAAAGGCGGAGUGCACUAUUUUUGAAAGCCAAUGUUAACAUUUGAAAUUACCUAAACAAACAUGCCUCUACCCCAAUAGAAUCUGGACCUUUUUUUGAUAGAGCCACCACACACAUACGCAACCCCGGCAAGGAUGUCAGUUAGUAGACACGCCCCUUACUGCUGGUUGGCUACAAGUGUGUUUUGGUAGUCGGCCCAAUUUCCUUUUCCAAAGCGUUUUUCAAACAUUGUGCACUCAGUCUUUAAAUUGCACUUAAAACAUUUUUUUUUCAGUAACUUUUUAUGCAGAGAAUUACAUUAUGAUUAUUAUAUAAUCAUUGCUUAUGAAUAUUUAGUGAUUGCAUAUUCAUAGUGUACUUUUCAUUAAUACAUUUAAUGUUAAUGUUGUACAAUUUGAUAGAAGUAGCUCUGUAAUUGCAUUUCUCUGAUAUUUGUUUUAUAUUGUUUCUCUUUGGUCAAGAGAUUAUGUAUGUCUCUGUGCUUGAUUAAUUUAAUUUAGGUAUUUUUGUAAUAUACACAACACAAUAUGAAGUAUAUUAAAUUGUUCUGUAUUCAAAAUC